AGUGAACGCUGGCGGUAGGCCUAACACAUGCAAGUCGAACGGCAGCACAGUAAGAGCUUGCUCUUACGGGUGGCGAGUGGCGGACGGGUGAGGAAUACAUCGGAAUCUACUUUUUCGUGGGGGAUAACGUAGGGAAACUUACGCUAAUACCGCAUACGACCUACGGGUGAAAGCAGGGGAUCUUCGGACCUUGCGCGAUUGAAUGAGCCGAUGUCGGAUUAGCUAGUUGGCGGGGUAAAGGCCCACCAAGGCGACGAUCCGUAGCUGGUCUGAGAGGAUGAUGCGCCACACUGGGACUGAGACACGGUCCAGACUCCUACGGGAGGCAGCAGUGGGGAGUAUUGGACAAUGGGCGCAAGCCUGAUCCAGCCAUACCGCGUGGGUGAAGAAGGCCUUCGGGUUGUAAAGCCCUUUUGUUGGGAAAGAAAAGCAGCAGGUUAAUACCCCGCUGUUCUGACGGUACCCAAAGAAUAAGCACCGGCUAACUUCGUG
rnacentral:rRNA from 1 species